UGUGGGGGCUGCGGGCUUCAUUAGAAGUCGGCUCUCCUUAAAUGCAUUAGUGGAAACCGCUUGCAGGAUUCAUUCACUUCUUGGCGUGAUAGUAUCGUCGUCAAGGGUUGUGUCUCCAAGGUGUCUGCUCUCUAACCGUCCGAAAGGCUCUUAAUGACUUGUUUGACCUCAAAUCAGGUAGGACUACCCGCUGAACUUAA
rnacentral:misc_RNA from 1 species